rnacentral:rRNA from 1 species
UAGGGAAUCUUCCGCAAUGGGCGAAAGCCUGACGGAGCAACGCCGCGUGAGUGAAGAAGGUCUUCGGAUCGUAAAACUCUGUUAUUAGGGAAGAACAAAUGUGUAAGUAACUAUGCACGUCUUGACGGUACCUAAUCAGAAAGCCACGGCUAACUACGUGCCAGCAGCCGCGGUAAUACGUAGGUGGCAAGCGUUAUCCGGAAUUAUUGGGCGUAAAGCGCGCGUAGGCGGUCUUUUAAGUCUGAUGUGAAAGCCCACGGCUCAACCGUGGAGGGUCAUUGGAAACUGGAAAACUUGAGUGCAGAAGAAGAAAGUGGAAUUCCAUGUGUAGCGGUGAAAUGCGCAGAGAUAUGGAGGAACACCAGUGGCGAAGGCGACUUUCUGGUCUGUAACUGACGCUGAUGUGCGAAAGCGUGGGGAUCAAACA